rnacentral:misc_RNA from 1 species
UGUGUUUGUUGCCAGAUCCAGAG